rnacentral:lncRNA from 1 species
UGGAAUCUCGCUUUGCUCUGAAAACACCCCAGAGGUAGUGCUUACCCUGGAAUCCUGCCAAUUGAUUUUCUCAAACAGCUUAACAAUGAACCUUGGAUAACGAAGGUAAUGCAAACCUAGAAUACAUACUCAUCUUUAAUCAAAUACUCCUACUCCCACAAUUCUAGUUUAUAUUAUCUCAUUUGAUUUGGCACGGUUAUAUUAUACUGAAAGUGGGUCCAAACUUCCAGCUAAAAGUAUUUUUAGGAGAAUUAACAAUUUUUAAAUUUAAGAGAAAUUGUCCAUAAAGCAUUAACCCAGUGGCAAUAUGACAAGGCAUACAACCUUCACCUUUGAUAAGCAGGAAUGAUGAUUGGUUAAUUUGUUGGCUUAAUGUAAGGAUAUAUAAUAAGAAGCAACUUUUUUCUAAAGAAACUGACUUUCAUUCAAUAGGAUUGAAUGUGCUUGGGCUGCCCUGUGCUCAGUCUGCCCUGUGCUUGGGCUUAAAAAAUAUUCAAGUCUCCCCCUUUUCUAGCCCACACGAAGACACUGUCUCUCUGCCUAAACAUUUUUUGGGAAUCAUACCUUCUGGAACUCCAAUCUAUCCACUGACCACCAAUCCUCAACUUCCCAUUACCAAUCUCCUAUCAAUCAAAGACAAGUCUCCAAGUUUUCUUUUGUUUUUUAAAACUUUUACUAGAAUAUAAAGAAAACAUUGAGAACUAGAGAUGGUCCCACUGUUAGAAAGUUAUAGAGUAUCGUAUUGGGGAGUUCGGGACAAACCAAAAUAGAAAGUACGUGUAUAAUAACUCACUCCAGUAUAGCAGGGGUAGUUCCGUAGAAGUGAAAACCAAAAGCUCGGCAUUAGUUACUAUUGCUCGAAGAGCAAGUUCGUUACUGAUCAUCUUCUCCACCAACUGAUCAAACACCUUUUCCCAUCUAUAGCAAGAAAAAUAGGAGGAGAAUAAACCAAAACUUGAUCAAAAUAACCGGUGAAUGGUGAAAAUAUACAAGUAAUUACCUUAUGUCCGAUGGGAAAAAAUACAAUGCAAUGUUAUCAUCAGUCGGCUCUGAUAUAGUGAAACUCUUAGGCCAUAAGUCAGAUUUUGGAAGCAUUUCCAGUUGAAGCGAAGCUGGAAGCAAACUUGCUUCUUCAAAAACCUUUUGGCAUGCUUUAACUGAAAGGUGAGCUUGUCCAUAAAAUGUCUCAUACUCUUUGUUCCAGAUGUUAAAACUACCCCUGUCAGAUCACAAUAAGAAUAAAUUUUCAUUUGCACAAUAAUAGAUCCAUCGGUUAGAUUAUCUCCCGAGUUAAAAUUCAUGACAUAUCUCCUGACCUCCAAAUGAAAUCAAUAAGAGGUUGUGCUCGGUCUUGGCCACCAUGUUUGGGUUCAUUUGGCUGUUCACCUUUUGAAAAUUGAGAAGGAUCUCCAUUAACAACAGUUCUAGAUUGAGGUGUUAAUCUUCUAUCAUUUCCAAUCGUCGAUUCCUCUUCAUGAUGAUUGCUACGGGACGACAUACUCAUUGUCUUUUCAAUCAUGCCAGAAGAAUCAUCCUGUGUGCCAGGCUGAACAUCUCCCUCACAAGGUUCCUUCAAAUGACGAGCUUGCAAUUCUUCCCUUGCCAGUGGGCCGGUAACUUCUUCCUUUGAUCGCUUAGCUGGCAAUGGAGAAACAUUAGCUGAUUGAGUUCGUUCAUUGCACUGAAUGCUUAUCUGUGACUCGUGGGAUUGCUCAGAAGAGCAACGUACUAGUCUUUGCUCAUAUUUCUCAUCUCUUAAUGAAGCAGGAUUAGAUCUCUUCUUGCUCGUCUUCACAACUGGACUAUCACCCGCUAUCCGACAAUUCUCUACCAAAUCAAUCCCAGCACCUGGCUGAUGAAGUUGCUGAUCCCUACCUUGACAACUCUUUAAUUUUGUCUCAGGAACAUCCACUUUUGCUUUAGAAGUUGCUUUACAAUGUCUUGAACUAGUGCAAUCCCCAUUUUCUACUGAGAUGGCAUCAGAUUUCUUGAUGUUUAGUCCGUCUGGCUCCUUCACUUCACAGUCAUCACAGACCCAGUUGACAAAUUCCUUGAAGGUGACUUUUUUAAGGCAGUAGCUGAAAAAUAAGCAAGAUCAACAAACCAUAUAACGAAACAAAAAAGGAUAACCUGUAACCCAUCUUGGUAUUUAACCUUUAACAGCAACUAAUAAGUCAUGCCACAGAAAUUAUUAUUUAAAAGAAAAGAAAAUUGUUAGUUCAAAGACCUAAAGAAAAGAGAAAAAUCAUGAGAAACUAAGAGAAUGAAAGAGACAUUAAUGAAGGCUUAAUAAUGUGAUUAGUACAAUGCACACAUUUCUGUAUGAUAUUUGUGUAAUGUCAAAUAAUAUCCAAAUUAAGAACUUAAGUAUGCGAAACGUUAAAAUUCUAGCACACUCGAAGUCAACAACAACAACAACCACCUAGUACAAUCCCACGUGUGGAGUCUGGGGAGGGUAGUGUGUACGCAGACCCUACCCCUGCCCCGGAGGGUAGAGAGGCUGUUUCCGAAAGACCCUCGGCACAAGGAGAUGAAAAGGUGGCAACAAUAACAACCACAUAUGUCAAGAAGACAGUGCGAGCAACCUAAGAAUCAGAAAAAUAAAUGGAAAAAGCAAUAUCAAUAAUCAGAAUAAUGGAAAGGUACUAGGCAAUCGGAGCAGAAAACAAUGCAAACACAACAAGUACCACUAACAAUCUAAAGACACUACAAACUAGCCUAACACCCUCAACAGGGAAGAAAGACGCUCAACUACCUACUAACCUACAAACCUAAUGCUCGCCCUCCAAGCCUUCCUAUCUAAGGUCAUGUCUUAGGUGAGCUGGAGUCGCGCCAUGUCCUGCCUAAUCACCUCUCCCCAAUAUUUCUUAGGCCUCCCUCUACCUCUUCUCACAAGUGACAAAGCCAACCACUUGCACCUCCUAACCGGGGCGUCAAGGCUUCUCCUCCCCAAACCAUCUAAGCCUCGCUUCCCGCAUUUGUCAUCUGUGCGCCACCCCCACCUUUGCUAGAAUAUCCUCAUUCCUAAUCUUAUCCAAUCUAGCAUGCCCGCACAUCCACCUCAACAUCCUCAUUUCUAUUACUUCCAUCUUCUGGAUAUGCGAGUUCUUGACUGGCCAACAUUCUGCCCCAUACAACAUAGCCGGUCUAAUCACUGCUCUAUAAAACUUGUCUUUAAGUUCUGGUGGCACCUUUUUGUCACACAAGACUCCAGAUGCUAACCUCCAUUUCAUCCAUCCCGCCCCUAUACGGUGUGUGAUAUCCUCGCCAAUCUCCCCGUUCCCCCGGAUAAUAGACACAAAAUACUUAAAACUUCCUUUCCUGGGGAUGACUUGUGAAUCAAGCCUUACAUCACUGUCCGCUUCCCCAGUUACAUCACUGAACUUGCACUCCAAGUAUUCUGUCUUAGUCCUGCUCAACUUGAAACCUUUAAACUUCAGGGUCUGUCUCCAAACCUCCAGCCUCUCGCCGACACCGCCUCGCGUCUCAUCAAUCAGGACUAUAUCAUCAGUAAAUAACAUACACCAUGGCGCCUCUCCCUGAAUAUGGUGCAUUAGCGCGUCCAUCGCCAAGGCAAAUAGGAAAGGACUGAGCGUUGAUCCUUGGUACAACCCCAUAACUACCGGAAAAUGCUCUGAGUCACCUCCCAUUGUCCUAACUCGAAGUCAAAGCAGGCAAAUUAUUGGAUUUGCUUAUUUUGAGAAUGUAGAAACAUUUCGUUGGAAAUCUACAAAAUGCUACCAGAAAAGUUGUGGUUGCUGGAAUCUCGCCAAGAUAGCGGAUGUGAAAACGAUUACCAGAAAAGGUCACGUCAUUACCUGGACGAUCAUCAAAAGAGAAGCGGCGCCAUCAUAACAAUCACAGGAAAGAAGAGCGAACGCUGAAACGGUCAUCGAAAAGAGAUACGCACCUCUACAACAAUCACUGGAAAUAUGCACGAUAUAGUUGGAAUGAUCGUCAAAAUUAAGUGCAGCAUUACCAAAACAGCUAUAAGAAAGAGGAAAGGCACUGCUGUAAAAUGACUUAGUGCUAUUUGAGCAGCCGCAUGAAAAAAGUUGUGAUGCUGCCAGAGAAGUGUGGUGCCGCCUGAUUGGUCACCGGAAAGAGACAUGGUAACCAAGGUGGUCACUGCAAAGAAGGAAGGAGGAAAAACUUUUAACCGGUCAAAUGACACAAGGCCAUCAGCUGGUAGGGAGAAGCUACUUGAUUCUCUACCAAGAUCGUAGAGGCUCUAAUAACUAUAGUAUCAGACGCAUUAUACAUAUGAUAUUGGUCCAAUGUGAAUUAAUAAGCAACAUAAGAACCCAACUCUUCUACCACUAUAACUCAAACAUUCUAACAGAAAACAGAACCCUGGAGGAACAGGAAGUUGCUUUCUGAUCAAAGAACCAACAUUUUGUACAACAUUCAAACAAUGAAUAGCUCAAAAAAAUUGAAUUGCCCAUUAUAAGCUUCCUUUUCAAGGUUAAUUUAAGUGUUGAAGGCAAAGGGUUGUAGCCUUGUAGGUCCAUCAAAUUUCAAAGAACUUUUAGUUUGCAAAGAUCCAUUUUAAUAAGACAAUGAUUUAAUGAAUAAAUGGCAUUGCAACAUACAAAAGUAUGGUUUUACAACAAAACCGAAACUUCAUCCAUCUAUAUAGCUUUUUUUGAUAAGUAACUUCAUUCACCUAUACAAUGUAGAAUAUCAUUUCAAAGCAAAAGAUAUAAAUGAAAUAAAAAGGAGCUCUUGACUCUCCACAAUGGACUCUGUAGGAGCAACUCUCAAAAGCCCUUCAUAUUGACCAUCUUUUGUAUUUUCUAACUUGUUGACACUUCCGAUACGCACCAGGAACUCCCAAACUAUGUUACUUAAACAUACAAUAAUCAAGGAUCAUAGAUAUGUGGCAAAACUACAAUGUAUUAAUACAUGGUCUACAUCCUCCCCGUCUUUCCUACACCAGCAGCACCAAUUGACUAGCAUUUGUCUUCUCUCUCUUAGGUCAUCUGUCGCUAAGAUGGCAAUCAAAACUGCAUAAUGCAUAAGAAAAUCAUUUUGUUUGGUCCCUUGUCCUCCAAAAUGUGAUUUCACGUGGGCUUUGAAUCAACCACUAUUAUAAAAAAGAUCACAAAACAACUGCACUGAGAACUUUUUGAAAGUUCUUUACCAAUGAUCUUCCCCAAAUCACUGUCUCUUUUACUAAAUAAUACUCCCUCUGUUCCAACUUGUGGGCACAUUUGACUAGAUACAAAGUAAAGAAAUAAAGGAAAACUUUUGAUAUAGAAUAAAUAUGAACAAAAUACCAAAAGUAUUCUUGUACCAAAUAAUUUGUUUUGGUAUCCUCUGGACCCUACAACAAGUCAUGACAUAGCAGAAUGGGAAUGUAAAAUUACAGUAACUUCUAAAUAUAGAAAGGUACAAAUCUUUUAGGAAUGGACAAAAAACAAACAGAGCAAAGCAAAUUUGAAUGGAGGAAGUACUACAGUAAAUUUUCUAUAAAAAGUUGUUAAUAUCAUUUCCACUUCCAAUAAUAUAUAGAUCUUCUGAAAGAUAUAUUCAUCGACAUUUGGUUUCCCACUCUUUAAGGAGCUCGACUACUGGAGGGAGAUGCAUCAAAGGGGGUUCUAGUGGAUGGUCUAUUUGGAGAUGGGUCAUCUCAGAGCUUCUUGAAAGGAACUUGUUUUUUGGUACUUGCUCUUUUUCUUUCUUGGAAUACCUAUAUAAUUGUUGCUGGUAUGAGCGAUUUCUCCACUUAGUAUAAACACUAAAUUGGGGUAUUUCCCUUUCAAACAUUAGAAUUUAUUACCUCAUCAAAAAAGUUUAGGAGCUCUGUUAUUGUUACCACUUUGAUAGUUGAGAGAGUUUGUAUGUUCCUUUCCUAUUACUUUUCAGUUUUCCUUUCACACUCAGGUUGUAUAUCUCCUGAAUUAUUCAGAUGAAACUUCUGCUGCUGUGAAUUGAUUAAUUGAAUUUUCUGGUUUUGAGAACUCUAACAAAAAUUGAAGUGCUUGAUUUAAGACAACCAUCCAUGAAGUUAAACAACCAAAGCUUGAGAGAAACAGGGGCAAUUUUUCUCAGACAAACAUUUUGAGGAAUGUUCAGUGCAAGGAGAAAAAGUAAAUUAGUUGGGACUAUCAAGUUCAAGUUAAAUUCGAAUUAAUAAAAUACAAAGAGCUACUAGUUUGUUCAAUUUCAACGCUGAUUAAAAAAAUCAGUAGGUUUAGAUGUCCUUGUGAGUAACCCCACUGGAACUGCUGACAGCUGAUACUAAUUCCCAGCGUAAACUUUAUACUGGAACUAUGGGUGUCUAAGAAAUCACAAUGUAUAUCAGUCGAAUCCACAAUUAAAAUAAUUUAGGUGUAAGUUAUUUCCAUUUCUUUUUUUAAAAAAAGUACGGUGGUAUACAGGCAAACUUGGUGCAUAUUGACUAUUCCGCUAGGUACCUGCAACUCCCACUGGUACAAGUACCGACCUGUCCACCACAAGUACAUGUGUAAGUUAUUUCCAUUUCAAAGCUAUAGUUCACACCGGCCACGACCAAGUUUCACGUAGUGCCGGUCACGACCCAAGCCGUGACUGAAAGAUCAUACUCGAGAAUAAAAUUGCAAUAAAGAGAGUACAAUGUUUGAACUAUAACAAAAACAACACUGUUGAUUCAACUUACCGAUGCACAGCAACUUCCAGACAUUUCACACAGAAAACAAAUGCGUUAGUCCAACCUUCAUCACCACAAUUUAGACACAUUGUGACCUGCAGCCAAUCGCAAUAUAACUAAUUAAAGAUGCAGAAUAUCAUUAUGCAAGAAAUAUAAAACUACGCAGAGUCCAAGUCUUCUUGUUAGAGGGGAAAGAAACUAUAGCAUGCAGAGAUACAAACUUUAGUUACAGAGUACUGAGUAGCCUUUUUUGCAAAAGUCUUUUUCUUCUUAAAUAUCGUGCCCCAUCAGACACUGUCAUAUAAAAUAAAAUGGAGGGAGUAUGUUGCAUAGACGGCUAAGGAUACAUGUGUGAUUAACUGAUACGGGUUAGCACUUAGGUUACACAUCUUUUUAAGAACACGUGCCAUGCACCAGGGUGUGCAAGUAUCCCAUAUGAUUGCAUCAAGUUUUUUUGCUAAUUUUGAGAGUAUUUUGAAGAACAAACAAGAAGUACCCACACCCAUUCGACAGGGGUACGUCAAGGCAAGUGAAAAACUUUGGCCUUGAAGUAUCAAUGUAACAUAGGCAAGUGAAAAACUUUGGCCUUGAAGUAUCAAUGUAACAUAGGCAAGUGCAGCAUGUUCCUAAAUUUUAGUGUAAUUUGAAAAGUUCAUAUGAGAUAUCCGCACACAUGUCUGACCAUUCAACAUGGGUACAUCAAGACAUAUGAAGGAUCCAUGUAAUAUAAGAUAAUAAUCUACACCAAGGUGAAUUAAAAUCCCACUCAUCUAUAAGAUCUUCAAAACAAAAAGGUUCAGAAUUCAAGGAAAAGCAACAAAAAAGUAAAAGAGAAGGUCUGAUUUCUCUGUACAGUUCCAAGUAAAAGCUAGUAUUCUCCAUUUGUCAACCAGAACACUCUAUAUUUUUCCUCAAUCAUUUCUUUAAGGUGCUUGAUUAAAAACCUAGUUAUAUUUAUGAAUAGAAAAUUUUAUUUUGCUGUUGGGAACACAAAUCUUCGUAUAUGACAGCAAACUUUUCUGAUGGAGAUAUAUGGUAAGACUGAGUGGAAAGAAAGAAGCAUUUAAUUAGAAGGAUGACUGUGAGAAGUGCUUUUAUGGCUAUGUCAUCCUCCACAUAGCAUUGAAGGCAAAGGUACCUGCGCAAAAGAUGAAAGCUUACAGAACAUUCCUAUGCCUAUUUUUGUACUCAAAAGUACAAUCAAUUAUGGAAGAUACAUAAGCAUGUCGGGAUACAGGGGGAACGCCUGUGUUUUUGAGAGCAAGAAGCACAAAAAAGCGACAGGGGCUCGCCUUGCUUCAAAAGCGAAGCGCGAAGCGAAGCGCACACUUCAUUGAAGUGAAGCGCAAUUCUUAAAAAACAUAAUGUAAACCUUGCAAGAGACAAUAUAGAUAAUGAAAAAGUUCAAUUUAAAAACAUAAUCAAAUAAACUGAAAAUAUAACACACACACACAUAUAUAUAUGUAUAUAUAUAUAUAUAUGAUAAUUAAUUUUAUAAACUGAAAUACACAUAAAAAUUAACAAAUAAAUGCUAAAAUACUAAAUAAGAAGAAUAAAAUGGGAAAAAAAUAGCGCCUACCAUAGCUGUGCACACGACUGGACGGGAAGAAGAAGAAAGAAGAGAGAAAAAGAGGAGAAGAGAAAAGGAGAAGAAGAAGAAAGAAGAAAAAUUACCUGGAGGUCUCUGUUGUGGCUGGAUUGGAACCCUAGCAGCAGCCAGCAACGUUCGAUUUUGGGAAGAAGAGAAAGAAAUGGUCUCUUUCACUUUGGGUCUAUUUUGUAUAAUUAAAAAAAAAAGACCCAAACUUUUUUUUUUUUAAAAUGGACCCCUCUGGACAGAAGCGAUCGAUUUUGCUCUUCUCGCUUCUGCGUCGCUUCGCGCUUCCUCGACUGAAGCAAUUGCUUCUGUUGGUCGUGUCGCCUCAGGUAGGAAAAAGCGAUGGCUGGUCGCCUCUCGCUUAAAGCGACGAAGCGAACGCUUUUUAAGACAGCGGGGAACGCAAGUCUUUGAUUAUCUUGCCAGAGGUCUGUGUGUUCUAAAACCAGGGAGGAAUACCUCGAGAAUAAGAUUGAGAAAUUUGAAAGUAAAGGCAUAGAGAAAAUAGUGGAAGCUCAACCAAACGUGAUCAGAAACACCUUCUCAAAGAUGAUAAAGCACAGCAGAUGAUCACAGAAAGAGCACAACAUGCUAAGACAAAAGUACAGGAGGAGAAGAGUCAAACUGAAGGAGACUCAUCACCAACUAACAAUGAUUUUCUAGGCAGACAUGUAGUCGAGAGAUUUGACGGAGGCAACUUAGACAAACCAACUUGUUCUUAUUUACGCAACAAAUGGAAAGUAAAAGUAGGGGUACAAGUUUUUGAGAUGACAGGUCUCUAGUUUCUGCUCGAGUUUCCCUUAGAAGAGAAGCUGAAUGAAUAUUGGUAAGGAAAUGGAAAUUGAAGCAAGCAACAAUGAAACUCAAAUGGUGAUCUCUAACUGUCAGGUAUGCGAUCUAGAUGAGGAUGAGUGUGGAUCAACUCUUGGACUUCCUUUACAUCUAUGGUCACAGACUAGUUUGGCAGAAGUAGACCACAUUAUAAUUACUAAAGAGUUGGAUAAACACUAAAAAUCCCCAAAAAUUAAAAAGAGAUCCCAUUACCUCACCCUAACCCCACAACUUUAAAAUCUCAAAAUGCUUCUUGUUCCCUCUCACCUCUUUGCUCUUGUCAUUCCUGUCAAAAGCCAACUCCGAUCACCGGCAAUCACUCCGAUCACCGCUAAUCGUGCAAUUGUCGGUCCCUUGAUUGAUCACAGCCACCCUCCAGUUUCCGUCAAGACAUCGUCAUCACAGUCCCCUUAACUCUUGUUGAAAAUUAUCUAAGGUAAAUUACCGUGUUUUCUAAUUUUUUUGAAUUGUGAGAGGAAGAAGGGCCGGAUUUGGUUGAUUCUAGUUGGAUACGGUUUGGUUUUGAUUUCCUAAGUUGGGGAUGUCCAUUGUUGGUUUAAAUCAAACCUAGGUUGAUUUAAACAACCACAAGAGUUUAAACAACCUGUGGGUGUUUAUAAAACCCUGGGUAGUUUAGGGAAUUUGUUUCAUAAACAAUCUUGUGUUGUUUAAACAACCCGACGUUGUUUAUACAAAGAACAUGUGGUUGUGUGCAGGUUUCUUGUAUAAACCACCUAUGCUUCUAUAAAUAAACAGUGGGUUGUUUAACCUGUGAUUGUUGUUGUCAAUGACGGUUCAAUCUUUUUUGAGUUAAGAGAAAUUAUUUAUUUGCAUCACUGAUAAUUUUUAAUUAUUUUGUGUGUGUAGAUAAAAUAGGAAGGAAACAUAGAGUCGUUGAAAGCUCAUCCUCCAAAUAUACCAGCAAAAGAGUGAGAACGUCAGAGGCUGUCCAAACAAUAGCUCCGAACAUGUUAAUAGAGAGCAACAAAAAUUCCUCGUAGAGAGGUCCUCGCCUCAUAGAGCAAAAAAAGGCGAAAAAUCAGUGGAGGUAGAAAUAUCUUGAUUAUCUUUUAUAAAUCCUGGGCAUUAAGUAUGCAACACGUCAAUCCGACUUCCAGACAUGCUUAACUUGCGCUUAACAAUAGCUUGAUUAUUUUGAUGAAUUUAUAAUUGCUAGAAAUGUGAUGAUUACAGGUUCUUAAAUCAACCAACAAACUGAAUUCUCCGUAAAGGGCUCCUCACCUCACAGAGAAACAAGAGAUGAAAGAUCAAUCGAGGAGCCGGCUACCCAAACAAGAGAUGAAAGAUCAACUGAUGCUUGUUUAGACAACCACCCGUCAGGAAACAUAAACACAUAAUUUCUCUUUAUGCAAUGCUAUACAAAUUUAAAGAUUUCAG